UCAAAUCCUAAUAUAACCUUCAAUAAAUCUUAAUGAAAUCUUAAACCAAUCUUAAUGAAAUCUUAAACUCUAGAUAAAUCCUAAACAAAUCCUAAAUCCUAAUCCUAAGCCAAAUCUUAAUUAAAUUUUAAACUCUAAACCUAGAUCAAAUAUCAAUGAAACUUUAAAUCCUAAUCAAAUCCUAUAAAAUAUUAAAUAAAUCUUAAUCAAACUCUAGACAAAUCCUAUUCAAAUUCUAAAAAAAAUCCUAAAUCCUAAUCUUAAACUAAAUCCUAAUAAAACCUUAAAUCCUAAAUAAUUUCGAAUAAAUUUUAAUCAACUAAAUUUAAUUCAACUAUAGCUAUUUGAAACCUCAAUAAAUAUUAAUUGAAUUUUAGAUCUUAAUUAAAAUUUUAUCCAAAAUUCAACUAAUAAUAGAUUAACAAACACACAAAAUUUGAGAA
rnacentral:lncRNA from 1 species